AACGAACGCUGGCGGCGCGUCUUACGCAUGCAAGUCGAACGGCAAGAGAGGAGCUUGCUUCUCUCCUAGAGUGGCGGACUGGUGAGGAACACGUGGGUAAUCUACCCUUAAGAUGGGGAUAGCUGCUAGAAAUAGCAGGUAAUACCGAAUACACUCGGCAUAUCACAAGAGGUGUUGAGGAAAGGAAGCUACGGCUUCGCUUGAGGAUGAGCUUGCGUCCCAUUAGCUAGUUGGUGAGGUAAAGGCCCACCAAGGCGACGAUGGGUAUCCGGCCUGAGAGGGUGAACGGACACAUUGGGACUGAGAUACGGCCCAAACUCCUACGGGAGGCAGCAGCUAAGAAUAUUCCGCAAUGGACGGAAGUCUGACGGAGCAACGCCGCGUGGAUGAAGAAGGCUGUAAAGUUGUAAAAUCCUUUUGUUGAUGAAGAAUAAGGGUGAGAGGGAAUGCUCAUCUGAUGACGGUAAUCGACGAAUAAGCCCCGGCUAAUUACGUG
rnacentral:rRNA from 1 species